AACUUGUCUUCCGUCAUCCAGCAAAGUUGGGAAUAUUGACUGGAUGGUGGAAGUAAAAACUCAGGCUGCUGGAGGAAGCAUAACUUGCAAAACAUAAUCACCUGGCUAGCAAUGCAACCAACUCUUUUGGUUUAAAAACCAAAUCCUUCAGGAACCAGCCGAUGUGUGUGGGCCGGGGGAGGUUUUAGAUGGAAGGAAGCUUAGAAGAAGCAUGUGUGUGUGUGUGUGUGUGUGUGUGUGUAUGUGUGUGUGUGUGUGUGUGUCUCAGCACAUGGAGUUACCCUGUCCAUGUCAUGCAUUUCUCUAGAGAAUGAUGGGAUCUGUGAUCUGUACCUCUGUAUACAGAACCAUUGUCCCUGGGUCCCUGCCUGUCCCUGCUCCAGGAAAGUGUUGGAUCCUCCCAAGUCCAAGGGAAGUGAUUAGGACACAGACAACAGACAGAAAGUGACCAUAGGAGGACACAGUGAGAAGCCAGCCAUCUGCAAGCCAAGGAGAGAGGCCUCGGGAGAAACCAAACUUGCCAACACCUUGAUUUUAGACUUCUAGCCCUCAGAACGGUGAGGAAAUGUAUCUCUGUUUCUCA